rnacentral:piRNA from 1 species
GAUGGCUAUAGAGGAGAGAACACCCUG